rnacentral:rRNA from 1 species
GACGAACGCUGGCGGCGUGCCUAAUACAUGCAAGUAGAACGCUGAAGGAGGAGCUUGCUUCUCUGGAUGAGUUGCGAACGGGUGAGUAACGCGUAGGUAACCUGCCUGGUAGCGGGGGAUAACUAUUGGAAACGAUAGCUAAUACCGCAUAAGAGUAGAUGUUGCAUGACAUUUGCUUAAAAGGUGCAAUUGCAUCACUACCAGAUGGACCUGCGUUGUAUUAGCUAGUUGGUGGGGUAACGGCUCACCAAGGCGACGAUACAUAGCCGACCUGAGAGGGUGAUCGGCCACACUGCGACUGAGACACGGCCCAGACUCCUACGGGAGGCAGCAGUAGGGAAUCUUCGGCAAUGGACGGAAGUCUGACCGAGCAACGCCGCGUGAGUGAAGAAGGUUUUCGGAUCGUAAAGCUCUGUUGUAAGAGAAGAACGAGUGUGAGAGUGGAAAGUUCACACUGUGACGGUAUCUUACCAGAAAGGGACGGCUAACUACGUG